GAGAGGUCAAACAUCUUACCUCUCCCCAAGACCAGCCCAACAUCUAGAGCUGGUCGCCCAAGAGGUGACAUUAGGAGGUGAUUGUGAAGAGGAGGGCAGUUCACCUUGGGCAGUCUAGAACUCCUGACUUAGUCCUGUGAGAGGACAAAGUAGCCGCCGUCGGUUGUAGCAGUGUGUUAGCUGCUGGAUUUAUGUAGUGUUGUAUAGACCGAUGUACCCAGGAUUUGGCCAAGAAGAGUUACGAGGCAACAGUACUGCGUCUGUUGAGAAGUGCUGCUAGUGUAUUGCUAGAGACUUCUGCCAGGGUGUUAGCUACCCCUGUGCCUGAUUAUUUGAGAACCCUGUCAGUGUGUUGCUGUAGCCCUCUGCUUCUGGAGAGUGGAUGUAGGGUAUUGGGACACCGUGACGAUACGGUGUAUGGACUGGCACAUGUUGAGGAAGGUGAACUCGCCGGAUCUGAUGAACACUGCAGAUCUGUUGAGUGUCCUGAGUAAAAGCAACACAGUGUAAAUAUGUGUAGUAAUAUUUAAGGAUGUAAUAUAUAUAUUGCAGGUG